CCUACGGGAGGCUGCAGUGGGGAAUAUUGCACAAUGGGGGAAACCCUGAUGCAGCGACGCCGCGUGAGUGAAGAAGUAUUUCGGUACGUAAAGCUCUAUCAGCAGGGAAGAAAAAAAGUCCUUUGGACUUUGGACGGUACCUGACUAAGAAGCCCCGGCUAACUACGUGCCAGCAGCCGCGGUAAUACGUAGGGGGCACGCGUUAUCCGGAUUUACUGGGUGUAAAGGGAGCGUAGACGGCAGCGCAGGUCUGGAGGGAAAUGCCGGGGCCCAACCCCGGAACUGCUUUGGAAACUGUGCAGCUGGAGUGGAGGAGAGGUAAGCGGAAUUCCUGGUGUAGCGGUGAAAUGCGUAGAUAUUAGGAGGAACACCAGUGGCGAAGGCGGCUUACUGGACUGUAACUGACGUUGAGGCUCGAAAGCGUGGGGAGCAAACAGGAUUAGAUACCCUUGUAGUC
rnacentral:rRNA from 1 species